rnacentral:rRNA from 1 species
UACGUAGGCAGCAAGCGUUGUUCGGAGUUACUGGGCGUAAAGAGUGCGUAGGUGGUGCCCUAAGUCUGUUGUGAAAUCUCCCGGCUUAACUGGGAGGGUGCGGUGGAAACUGGGGUGCUUGAGUGUGGGAGAGGUAAGCGGAAUUCUUGGUGUAGCGGUGAAAUGCGUAGAUAUCAGGAGGAACACCGGUGGUGUAGACGGCUUACUGGACCACGACUGACACUGAGGCACGAAAGCGUGGGUAGCAAACAGG